AUACCCUCCCCCUCCCUUAAUCCGGAAUUGGCCAGAGUCGGUUGGUACAAAAUAGGUAUAUAAUCGCAUCGAGCCAAAUGACGAACAUUUCUAAAUCGUUAAGAACUAUCUACUCGUGUAUAUAUUUUUAUUUAUUCCUUAUUCCCGACAACAUGAGGUUUUCCCUGCCGCUCGGCCGCUCCAUCGCUGCUUUCGAUCUAUCGAUCGGUCUCUCGGUCUUUUCU